AGAGUUUGAUGCCUGGCUCAGGACGAACGCUGGCGGCGUGCUUAACACGUGCAAGUCGAGCGAUGAGAUCACUUCGGUGAAGGAUUAGCGGCGAACGGGUGAGGAACACGUGAAGAAUCUGCCUUCAACUCUGGGAUAACUCCGGGAAACCGGGGCUAAUACCGGAUAUGAGCCUUGAUCGCAUGAUCGGGGCUGGAAAGUUUUUCGGUUGAAGAUGACUUCGCGGCCUAUCAGCUUGUUGGUGAGGUAAUGGCUCACCAAGGCGACGACGGGUAGCCGGCCUGAGAGGGCGACCGGCCACACUGGGACUGAGACACGGCCCAGACUCCUACGGGAGGCAGCAGUGGGGAAUAUUGGGCAAUGGAGGAAACUCUGACCCAGCGACGCCGCGCGCGGGAUGAAGGCCUUCGGGUUGUAAACCGCUUUCAGCAGGGAAUAAGCGCAAGUGAAGGUACCUGCAGAAGAAGCACCGGCUAACUAUGUGCCAGCAGCCGCGGUAAUACAUAGGGUGCAAGCGUUGUCCGGAAUUAUUGGGCGUAAAGAGCUCGUAGGUGGUUUGUUACGUCGGUUGUGAAAUUCAGGGGCUCAACCCCUGACUUGCAGCCGAUACGGGCAAGCUAGAGUUUGGUAGGGGAGACUGGAAUUCCUGGUGUAGCGGUGGAAUGCGCAGAUAUCAGGAGGAACACCGAUGGCGAAGGCAGGUCUCUGGGCCAAUACUGACACUGAGGAGCGAAAGCGUGGGGAGCGAACAGGAUUAGAUACCCUGGUAGUCCACGCCCGUAAACGGUGGGCGCUAGUUGUGCGAACC
rnacentral:rRNA from 1 species